AUGGACAUUUCUGACGAGAACCGGCUCGAACUCUUCCAUUGGCCGCUCCC
rnacentral:sRNA from 1 species